AGGGUGUGUCCAUCACAAUAGUAAUGGCCAUCAACAAAGCAAGUUCAAGCAGGUAUUUGAAAAGUUCACAGAUACUCAUUAGCAUUUGCCAUACACAGAUAUGAGACUGCAAUGAGUAUUACAUAUUCGAAGAACAUGAUGUAAAGAGACUGAUAGAACUUCACUAACAAUCAGAGUGAGUGAAAAGAAAAAAACUGGCUGAUUUAAAUAAGACUACUGCAGUUAUUCACAGCAUCCCUUCAACAAUUCUACAGGUCACAACUGCAGGCAUGCCCUUUCAAAGAUCAUAGACAGGGAUCCACUUCAGUUUUUUUGUUAGAUUUGCAAUCAACAAAACUUUUUUUUAAAAAAAAUGUGAAUAUUCACUACUUGAACUAUACGAAUGCCAUUGUCAGAUAAUUUUUUGGCAAUAGAUCGCCCUUAUAAAGCAUACAAGCUAAAAAAAAUCUAAUAUUUCUACCUGUGUACAAACCAUUUGCUGAUAAAAGAGGUCUAAAGAUAAAAUAACUU
rnacentral:lncRNA from 1 species